CGCGCCCGUCCGCGCGCUCCCCUUCUCGGCCGUUGGCGGCCUCAGGGCGCGCCGGUCUCCGAGCUCCAGGCUCCCCGCCUCUCGCUUCCCUCAGUCCUGCUCCGGGCGACACGCUCCCACUGUGCAGGUUCGAACCCCUGCCUCCGCGUCCUGCUCUGGUCUGGGGAAAAGGCGCCCGUGGGAGUAUUUGCUGGAGUUUAUCUUUUGGAAGGACCUGCAGUGCUGGUUUGUUGUUUUUUAAAUGUUUUUAUUGAUUUUAGAGAGAGAGGAAGGGAGAGGACUGGAGAGAUAGAAACAUCAAUGAUGAGAGAGAAUCAUUGAUCAGCUGCCUCCUGCAUGCCCCUACUGGGGAUUGAGCCUGCAACCUAGGCGUGUGCCUGGACUGGAUAUUGAACUGGUGACCUUUUGGUUCAUGGGUCAACGCUCAACCACUGAGCAACACCAGUCGGGCUGACCUGGAGAGUUUUGAAGGGUCUGGAUCACCACUGUGUUUUGUUUUGUUUUGUUUUUCUACAUGUGCUUUCCUCCUUCAAGCUCCCUCCCUCCUCCACUUCGAUUUGGAAUAUAGUAAAUCUGAGUUGCAGUACUGAGUCUGCCAAUUGCAGUGUCACCUUGGUCAAGUCACUUAACCUCUCUGAACCGCCUUCCUCAACUGGCAAAUGAGGGAGUGACUGAGAAGAUUCCUAAGGCCCUUCCAGCUUUCUCAGUCUCCUCUCUCAAGCACCAGGCUCCUGUCCCACAGUCUUUUCUCAGAAGCAGCUAUUGCAGGGUAAGGAUCAGAGAGACCUAGCGUUGGGACCCAGUUUCCACUGGGACUAGCUGUGUGAACUUGGAGGUCAGUGUUGGCAGCUCCCAUCACUCACUGCUCUGCCUGCCCCACCUCCCCCAGCAUCCAGCCUGGGCUGGGGGAAGCUGCUCCAGAAGGAAGGUGUGUGGCAGCAGGCACUGUCUGGGCCAUGGAGGCUGGAGCUGGGUGGCUGCCUAGAGUGAGAAUCCCAUGUGUCUGGGGAGGACCCCGCCUGGGUAGUCCAGUCCCAGCUUCCAGCCCUGCAUCACCACCUGGUUCUGCCUGAAGAUUCUCAGAGGUCACUGGAGGAGGAGGCUGAAGACUCACAAAUACUUCAAAUUUUUUUUUUAUGUAACAUCUUUCUUGUAAGUCUAUCCCCCUCUCAUAACAAAAGUAUUGUGUAUUAUUCAUGGAGAAUACAAUUAAUCAGAGAGGAGGAAAUUAAACUUUCUUAACUCAGAA